CAUGAAAGCUUGCAAAGAAUACGUGAAAGAAAGCUUGUUAAUUUUAUUGAGUGGGGACCAGGCUAGCAUUCAGGUUGCAUUUUCUAGAAAAUCACCAUACAUCUAAACUACUCAUCGGGGCAAACUGCUUAGGCUCCUAUGAAGUUUCAUUUGCUCUCCAUUUCCACGCGGUCAAAUUGGUCAUCGUAUGCCUCUCAGGACGUCGCUUCUCUCAGGGCAAACAGCUUAGGCUCCUAUGAAGUUUUGUUCGCUCUCCAUUACCACGCGGUCAAAUUGGUCAUCGUUGGCCUCUCAGGACGCCGCUUCUCUCAGGGUGAACAAGUUGUAGAUGAUAUCAUGGAUAUGGUUGACAGAGAAGCUGAUGGAAGUGAUAGUCUUGAAGGAUUUGUAUUAUGCCACUCGAUUUCUGGAGGAACAGGUUCAGGUACAUGAAAGCUUGCAAAGAAUACGUGAAAGAAAGCUUGUUAAUUUUAUUGAGUGGGGACCAGGCUAGCAUUCAGGUUGCAUUUUCUAGAAAAUCACCAUACAUCUAAACUACUCAACGGGGUGAACAAGUUGUAGAUGAUAUCAUGGAUAUGGUUGACAGAGAAGCUGAUGGAAGUGAUAGUCUUGAAGGAUUUGUAUUAUGCCACUUGAUUUCUGGAGGAACAGGUUCAGUGAAGGUGCUCCGCUUCUGCAAUCACAAGUCGUUAGUGCUAAGCCGGGAAGGGGUUCCCGGCGACGACCCUCCGACGGUCAAGUCACACAACAGCAGGAGGAGAAAAUAGAGGAAGCAUAGAAGUGAAUGGUGGUGCCAAAAGACGUAUGCGCGUACCGCCACGGAUGGCCACCUCCUUCCUUAUAUAGAGCUUCGGCGGGCUGACUGCACACUUCCCGGGCAGACGCGCAUUCCCAAACUUUCCCCAAAAGCUAACAUCGAGAAAGGAUCCCUGACGUCUUACUAUAACGGGAUGCACAUCCCUGUCAAGGCGGCAGAAUCUUCUCCCGUACGAUUUUCUGUCCAUCAGCGCCAUCAGGCAGCGCUAUCGACUCCCAAAUGGAUGUUGGCACGUAUCCCCUGUAUGAUUUGUCGACCGUUAGUCUGAUUGAACUUUCCUUGAUUGACCUGGCCAGCCAAUUCCCUAACCUCCUACGAGUAUAUCUGAGCCGAGCGGCGUGAGUGCCUUUGGUCUCAGUGCGUUGUAGGCUCAACCAACCCUUCUUGAAUUCUUCCGGCCGAUCGGGUUGUAGGCUUGGCCCACCUUCGCCGAACUCUUCCGGUCGAUCACCGAACUCUUCCGGCCGACCGACUUGUAGGGACUUCGGCUCGGCUAGUCCCUUAGCUGACCACCUCUUGACUUUGACGACCACUUAAGCGUUGAACUUUCUUGGAGGUGGGUCCUCCUGGAUUAUCACCGGAUCACAUGCCUCUUCUUUAAGUCUAGUCGAAGGAGAUUGUAAGUCCAACUGACUGGACAAAAUGUUGCGAAGAUGUGAUUUCCUGCGGGUGUUUCGGUCAACUAUGCCGGUCGGCCCACUUUCACCGAACUCUUUCCCUUUUUUUUUUUUUUUGUUUUCCGAAGGGGUGCUUCUGGCGAGCCGGUUGGCCAGCAUGCAGGAUUGUCUAACCACGAGCUUUCUAUCCUUGCUCGGUUGGCUCCUGGAGCCGUUGCCAGGGCGCUCUUCGCAAAAUCUCUUGGAACCCGCACCAACCCGAGGCAUUGAUGUGAAUCACGCUUCCUUAAUUACUCUGACAACCGCCUUAUCGAUGCACGCCACGCAUCGCCACCUGCCGGCGCACGUUUGAAGUGACAGGCUGGGAUGUGACGUUUGGGUUAUUUGAAUUUUAACGGCCAGAUCUGCCUUUAGGUGUUCGCGCUGUCGAUCGGAUGGCUAGGCGAGGUCUCUUGAUGUUUAUAAGCUCGUCGCCGCCGCCUUCCUUCUUUUGUGCUUUCGUUUCCGGCGACUUCAUCCGUGUUCUUUAGCGAUUUCCCCCGUGUUCUCCGGCGAAUCCUUCGUGCUCUCCGGCGCAUCCUUCGUGUUCUCCAGCAAAUCCCUCUACUUCCCUUGCUGUUCCCAUCUCGGGUGAGUCUAUUGCCUUCUUCUGUAGCUCCUUUCUGCUCUAUCUUCUUCGAUUUUCCGGCGAGCCUCUUCUCUUGCCCCUGCCCCCCUUUUCUUUUUGCACCUCUUCCCGACUCCUCUUGUUUCCUUCCUUCUGCCAUGGUCGGUGCAUCGCAGCCUUCGUCUUCUGCCUCGGGCCCUUGGUACGAUACUAUGGAGUCCAAGUUCGAUGAGGAUGAUGCUAGAACCCUAGCCAAUACCUUUGAACUCCCUCCCGGCUACGAGAUCCAUGUCCCGCUAGCCACCGAUCGGCCUUCCGCUCCGCCGACCGGCUAUGUCUGCUUCUUCCGCGAUCAAUUUACUGCCGGUCUGUGGCUUCCUCAUCCCUUCAUCCUUGAUGUUUGUAAAUACUUCGGUCUAUCCCUUUCUCAGCUAGUCCCGAAUUCCUUUCGCCUUUUGUGCGGGGUAAUUAUCUUAUUCCGCUUACAUCGCAUCCCCUUGACCCCUUCGAUUUUCCACUUUUUUUAUUACCCCAAGCUAUCCGAUCAGCCAGGCACCUUCCUUCUGCAAGCUCGACCGGGCUUGGUCUUUUUUGACAGGAUGCCUUCCUCCAAUAAGCAUUGGAGAGAAUACUUCUUUUUUGUCCACUUACCCGACCGGCCCUCCUUCCAAAUCACUUGGCAACUUUUGCUGGGGCCUCAACCUUCGCUGCCUCGCUACAAGAACACUCCUGCCUACUUAUUUGCUGCCUCCAUGCUAGCUGGCCAGAAGUUCAACAUUCACAAGUUGCUGGAGGAAGGAGUCUUGGCACUUUUUGGCCUUAGUCCGAUCAGCCCAGACGAGCCAAACAACCUAGCCGACAUCAUGAUGCGAGCGUGCUUGCUCGAGUAAUCAAAGCUUACCACUGCCGAUGUUGACAAGGUGGUGGUUGAAGUCUUGGUCGAACGGGGGUUUCAGCCGGAAGAUCUCCCCGAACUGAUACUGCCCGAACAGGGGCCUACUCAGGAAGCCGGUGGGGAGUCGAACCUGAUGCCGGUUGGAGCAGCAGCGGCGGGAGCGUCGAUCGCAGAGCUUCCGGCGGAUUAGCUAGCUCUAGAAGAGGGCUCGCAAUCGGAAGCACCACUUGAGAAUACGCACAAGAGGCGUCGAGCAGAGAAAGUUGCUCGCUCCGCGUCUUCAGUAGCGAGGGUCGUCGAUCAGACUGGCGCUUCCGGCCAGAUAUUGUCGGAGGCCGCCAAUAUCUCUUUUGACCGGACACAUCGGAUGAAAUUGCAUCCAAUUAUCAUAAUAAUGUUGCCUCCAAUUGUUAGGGGAAAAACAUACGUAUAAGGUAUUCUAAAUGUAUGUUCCCCAAUCUUCAUACUGCCAUACUUCAAUUUCUUAUUUGCAGUUGUUUUUGAAUUGAUACCACUAAAGUUCACAAUAAAAG